UACGUAGGGGGCUAGCGUUGUCCGGAAUCAUUGGCGUAAAGCGCGUGUAGGCGGUCCGGUAAGUCCGCUGUGAAAGUCGGGGGCUCAACCCUCGAAUGCCGGUGGAUACUGUCGGGCUAGAGUGCGGAAGAGGCGAGUGGAAUUCCUGGUGUAGCGGUGAAAUGCGCAGAUAUCAGGAGGAACACCAAUUGCGAAGGCAGCUCGCUGGGACGGUACUGACGCUGGAGACGCGAAAGCGUGGGGAGCAAACAGG
rnacentral:rRNA from 1 species